rnacentral:rRNA from 1 species
UACGUAGGGGGCUAGCGUUGUCCGGAAUCAUUGGGCGUAAAGCGCGUGUAGGCGGCCCGGUAAGUCCGCUGUGAAAGUCGGGGGCUCAACCCUCGGAAGCCGGUGGAUACUGUCGGGCUCGAGUACGGAAGAGGCGAGUGGAAUUCCUGGUGUAGCAGUGAAAUGCGUAGAUAUCAAGUGGAACACCAGUGGCGAAGGCGAGUCUCUGGACAUUUCCUGACGCUGAGGCACGAAAGCCAGGGGAGCAAACGGG